GCGCUGCACUUAGUUUCAGUGGUUGCCGUCUGCUACAUUCCUCUAUUUUCUCUCCAUUUUGCAUUUCGGUUUUCCUCUGCAACACACGGGCAUCACUUCGCAUCCCUCCAUUUCCGACUGUUUUGGUUGCCGUGAGUUUGAGUUGCAUUUUCAUUGGUUCUUGGGUUUCCGUGGCUUGUGAUUCCUAGUUCUUGGACUUUCGGUUUUCGGUUUCUCGUGUAACUAGUCAAACCAUUACGGGAGAAAUUCAUUUUCGUUGGUGUCGAGAUUAAUAAAGGACAAUUUCAAGGUAUAGAUAAUACGCUGCAGGAGUCAGAUGAUGUGGAGAGUCCAAAUGAGGACCUGGAUUAGAUUGGUGAACGUGUUUAAGUUGAGGAAAUGUGGUUAGAAGAAGGACUUCUGAUAUUCUUAAUUUUAAUGUCUUUGAGUUUUAAUUAUAUUUUCAGGUUUAGUAGGACCUAUGGUUUUAUCAGUUUGGUAUGUUACUAUUACCGGGAGAUUGUGGACCCUUUGAUAUUUUUUAUUAUUAUUGCAUUUAAGAUUGUGUGGAGUUUGUAAUGAGAUUAUUGAGAAGAUAUGAGAUUGAUUUCA